rnacentral:rRNA from 1 species
AGGCCAGACUCCUACGGGAGGCAGCAGUGGGGAAUAUUGCACAAUGGGGGAAACCCUGAUGCAGCGACGCCGCGUGAAGGAUGAAGUAUUUCGGUAUGUAAACUUCUAUCAGCAGGGAAGAAAAUGACGGUACCUGACUAAGAAGCCCCGGCUAACUACGUGCCAGCAGCCGCGGUAAUACGUAGGGGGCAAGCGUUAUCCGGAUUUACUGGGUGUAAAGGGAGCGUAGACGGCAUGGCAAGUCUGAAGUGAAAGCCCGGGGCCCAACCCCGGGACUGCUCUGGAAACUGCGGCGCUGGAGUACGGGAGGGGCAGGCGGAAUUCCUGGUGUAGCGGUGAAAUGCGUAGAUAUCAGGAGGAACACCGGCGGCGAAGGCGGCCUGCUGGACCGUGACUGACGUUGAGGCUCGAGAGCGUGGGGAGCGAACAGGAUUAGAUACCCUUGUAGC